rnacentral:rRNA from 1 species
AGUGAACGCUGGCGGUAGGCCUAACACAUGCGAGUCGAACGGCAGCACAGUAAGAGCUUGCUCUUACGGGUGGCGAGUGGCGGACGGGUGAGGAAUACAUCGGAAUCUACUUUUUCGUGGGGGAUAACGUAGGGAAACUUACGCUAAUACCGCAUACGACCUACGGGUGAAAGCAGGGGAUCUUCGGACCUUGCGCGAUUGAAUGAGCCGAUGUCGGAUUAGCUAGUUGGCGGGGUAAAGGCCCACCAAGGCGACGAUCCGUAGCUGGUCUGAGAGGAUGAUCAGCCACACUGGAACUGAGACACGGUCCAGACUCCUACGGGAGGCAGCGGUGGGGAAUAUUGGACAAUGGGCGCAAGCCUGAUCCAGCCAUACCGCGUGGGUGAAGAAGGCCUUCGGGUUGUAAAGCCCUUUUGUUGGGAAAGAAAAGCAGCAGGUUAAUACCCCGCUGUUCUGACGGUACCCAAAGAAUAAGCACCGGCUAACUUCGUG